UGAGGUAUGGUGUAAUGGUAGCACUAGGGAUUUUGGUUCCCUCUGUCCAGGUUCGAAUCCUGGUAUCUCAACCA
rnacentral:tRNA from 1 species